rnacentral:rRNA from 1 species
GACGAACGCUGGCGGCGUGCUUAACACAUGCAAGUCGAACGGAAAGGCCCUGCUUUUGUGGGGUGCUCGAGUGGCGAACGGGUGAGUAACACGUGAGUAACCUGCCCUUGACUUUGGGAUAACUUCAGGAAACUGGGGCUAAUACCGGAUAGGAGCUCCCGCUGCAUGGUGGGGGUUGGAAAGUUUCGGCGGUUGGGGAUGGACUCGCGGCUUAUCAGCUUGUUGGUGGGGUAGUGGCUUACCAAGGCUUUGACGGGUAGCCGGCCUGAGAGGGUGACCGGCCACAUUGGGACUGAGAUACGGCCCAGACUCCUACGGGAGGCAGCAGUGGGGAAUAUUGCACAAUGGGCGGAAGCCUGAUGCAGCAACGCCGCGUGUGGGAUGACGGCCUUCGGGUUGUAAACCGCUUUCGCCUGUGACGAAGCGUGAGUGACGGUAAUGGGUAAAGAAGCACCGGCUAACUACGUG